rfam:Collinsella tanakaei YIT 12063 genomic scaffold supercont1.6, whole genome shotgun sequence.
GGAGAGAUGGCAGAGCGGUUGAAUGCGGCGGUCUUGAAAACCGUUGGGCGCGUAAGCGUUCCGGGGGUUCGAAUCCCCCUCUCUCCG